UCUUUAAUGUCUUAAUUGGCCCUUACAACAGCUCAGACAGGAACUGGGAUAUGUUUGGGUUAAGCAGUUUUGCAGGCCGGGGAAACUGAGGCAAAUCCCGACUGACUGCGGAGCCCUGCCUUUCCUCAGGAGGUAAGAACUUCAAGCCGCGCGCUUUAUGGCGGGACACUAAAACCAGCUUCCCAUUCAGGAUCCCUCGGUCCCUUGCCCUCCACUCUCGUACACCCCGGAGCAGGUGGUAGGCUCUGUGUUCACCACGCAGGCGCGCGACGCCGUGUGGGGCGUGGUCGGGCGGGCCCGGAGGCGGGGCCGGCGCGCGCCGGGAGGAAGAGCUGGGAUUUGGGCCGCGGCGGGAGCCCGAGUCGGCGUCACUCGAGUGCGCAGGCGCCUGGCGGUUACCGGUCUCGCCAUGGAGCGGAAAGUGCUCGCGCUCCAGGCCCGAAAGAAAAGGACCAAGGCCAAGAAGGACAAAGCCCAAAGGAAGCCUGAAACUCAGCACCGAGGCUCUGCACCCCACUCCGAGAGCGACAUCCCAGAGCAGGAGGAGGAGAUUCUAGGGUCUGACGAUGACGAGCAGGAAGACCCCAAUGACUACUGUAAAGGAGGUUAUCAUCUUGUGAAAAUUGGAGAUCUAUUUAACGGGAGAUACCAUGUGAUUCGAAAAUUGGGCUGGGGACACUUUUCCACAGUGUGGUUAUCAUGGGAUAUUCAGGGAAAGAAGUUUGUAGCAAUGAAAGUAGUUAAAAGUGCUGAGCAUUACACAGAAACAGCACUAGAUGAAAUCCGGCUGCUGAAAUCGGUUCGCAACUCAGACCCGAAUGAUCCAAAUGGAGAAAUGGUUGUUCAACUACUAGAUGACUUUAAAAUAUCAGGCGUUAAUGGAACACAUAUCUGCAUGGUGUUUGAGGUUUUGGGGCAUCAUCUACUCAAGUGGAUCAUCAAGUCCAACUAUCAGGGGCUUCCGCUGCCUUGUGUCAAAAAAAUUAUUCAGCAAGUGCUACAGGGCCUGGAUUACUUACACACCAAGUGCCGGAUCAUCCACACGGACAUCAAACCAGAGAACAUCUUGUUGUCUGUGAAUGAGCAGUACAUUCGAAGGCUGGCUGCAGAGGCCACAGAGUGGCAGCGCUCAGGAGCUCCCCCACCAUCGGGGUCUGCAGUCAGCACUGCUCCACAGCCUAAGCCAGCUGACAAAAUGUCAAAGAAUAAGAAGAAGAAAUUGAAGAAGAAGCAGAAGCGCCAGGCAGAAUUACUAGAGAAGCGAAUGCAGGAAAUUGAGGAAAUGGAGAAAGAGUCGGGCCCUGGGCAAAAAAGACCUAACAAGCAAGAAGAAUCAGAGAGUCCUGUUGACAGACCCCUGACAGAGAACCCACCUAAUAAAAUGACCCAAGAGAAACUUGAAGAGUCAAAUUCCAUUGGCCAGGACCAGACACUCACGGAGCGUGGUGGAGAGGGUGGUGCGCCAGAGAUUAAUUGCAAUGGAGUGAUUGGAGUCGUUAAUUACCCUGAGAACAGUAAUAAUGAGACACUGAGGCAUAAAGAGGAUCUGCAUAAUGCUAAUGACUGUGAUGUCCACACUUUGAAGCAGGAACCUAGUUUCCUAAACUCUUCAAAUGGAGACAGCAGUCCAUCUCAAGACACAGACUCUUGCACACCCACGGCCUCUGAGACCAUGGUGUGCCAAUCCUCUGCAGAGCAGUCACUCACCCGACAGGACAUCACCCAGCUGGAGGAGAGCAUUCGGGCAGAUACACCUUCUGGGGAUGAGCAGGAGCCCAAUGGAGCCCUGGACAGCAAAGGAAAAUUCUCUGCUGGAAAUUUUCUUAUUAAUCCCCUUGAGCCAAAAAAUGCAGAGAAGCUCCAAGUGAAGAUCGCAGACCUCGGGAACGCCUGCUGGGUGCACAAGCAUUUCACUGAAGAUAUCCAGACACGGCAGUAUCGGUCUUUGGAAGUCCUGAUAGGAUCUGGCUACAACACCCCUGCUGACAUCUGGAGCACAGCAUGCAUGGCCUUUGAACUAGCCACAGGGGACUAUUUGUUUGAGCCUCAUUCAGGGGAGGAUUACACACGAGAUGAAGGUCAGAAAGCAAGUAUGCAGUGCCUUACAGAAUGGUAUGUGCACCGCUCUGUAUGCUGUGUCUAAAGUCACUUCUGUCAUUCUGCUCUGUUCUUUCCUCUGAAAUGUCUGUAUGCAGACCACAUCGCCCUGAUCAUAGAACUUCUGGGGAAGGUGCCUCGCAAGCUCAUUGUGGCAGGAAAAUACUCCAAGGAAUUUUUCACCAAAAAAGGUGACCUGAAGCACAUCACCAAGUUGAAGCCUUGGGGUCUUCUGGAGGUUCUGGUGGAGAAAUAUGAGUGGCCUCAGGAGGAGGCUGCCGGCUUCACAGAUUUCCUGCUGCCCAUGUUGGAGCUUAUGCCUGAGAAGAGAGCCACUGCUGCUGAGUGUCUCCGGCAUCCUUGGCUAAACUCCUAAGCCAGUCCUGCCACUGCAGCAGAGCUCAUCAUAUGGACCUUCCCUCCAGCCCACCCCUCAAACUUCCCUCUCCUUUUUCAGGGCAAAGCUCUUUCUUUCAAGGGUUUCUAUUUUUUUUUUAAACCAACAUGUUCAUUUGGGUUUGCUUCCUUGAUCCUGUGGAAAUUCCCACGGCCAUUGGGCAUCCUAGGUGAAUUUGGCCUUGGUUGGGCUCUGCCAAAGACUAAAAGUGUGAACAGCCUCACCCUCUGCCCUGCCAUCUUAUUAGGUUGUCAGUGCCCUUUCUAAGAAGAGCUGUGAAGAUCUGUGAGCCCAUCCAUCCUCUUUAUUCACUGACUCUGAGAGUCACACUUUCUCGUGCACAUCCGCCGCCAGCACAAGAUUGAGGAGGGGAGGGCUGUGGAUUCUGUGAACAGCAGAGACAUUAAAUGCGCUGUAUCCAGGCUGCAUCAUCUUCCUGGAUUCUAUCUGUGGUUUCUAUGCUCACAUUUUUUUCCUGCGACUUUUAUGCUACAUUUUUCGAUGAGCAACCAGUUUGGGUACCAUUUUAUCACUGUUGAAAGUAUUGUUGGAUCCCUCUCAUCUUCUCACAACUAAGUUCCUGGAAUCUUGAGUCUGUUGUUUUUGUUUUUUUUUUUUUUUUUUUUUUUUUUUUGGUUUUUGUUUUUUUUGUUGUUUUUUUUUUUUUUUUUUUUUUUUGGUUUUUUUGUUUUGAUUUUUCGAGACAGGAUUUCUCUGUGUAGUCCUGGCUGUCCUGGAACUCACUUUGUAGACCAGGCUGGCCUCGAACUCAGAAAUCCGCCUGCCUCUGCCUCUCAAGUGCUGGGAUUAAAGGCGUGUGCCACCACGCCCAGCUGAGUCUGGUUUUUAAUGUAGACAAAAGAGAACCAGUGAAUUUCAGUUACUGGGAGCCUCAGGUGUUGUGAAAUAGUCCUUUUCUGUGUCCUGUGUUGCCGUAAGAACAGUCAUUUCAGUCUGUCCUCCCAUUUAGAAGGCCCUCCUGGAGCUUUGCCUGCUCAGCUUGAAUGGACUGACUGUCUUGUAACGAGCUUUGGGGUGAUCCAGACAGGAGACGAAGGUUUCUGAGCUGCCCUGUUCAGGGAGUGUUCCCUCCCACAUUCCAAGGCCUUCCCAGACAGCUCUGCUUCCAUCCACAGCUUUCCUGCCUUGCCUAGAAUUCUGGCCUUGACUCAGUUUCUCCAUGUGGCUGUGCUGUUCUCAUUUCUCAGAGGCCUUUGAGAUCCUGGGUGAGGAGCCAAGGGGAGGAGAGGCUGGCACUUUUCUCAAUCGUUUUCCUGUUGGUUUUGACAUGAGUCAUCCUAUGCUGCUAUUUCCUUGUAUAAUGUAAGGUUUCUGUUUUGUUUUUAAACAUCAAUUUUGAGAUGAUUGAAAUGUACUUGAGGCUUUUUCUUCUUAAUGCAAAAAGGCUUUGUGAACUUUGUUUUAGGCUUGGCCCCUCAUAGACUUGAUUACCUAAACAUUACAUGUUCCUGGGGUGAAGCGUGCACGCAUCAGAAGGACAGGAUUGGGGUCACGUGACAGCUGCUUGCAGAUUUUAGCAAGGACCAAGUGGGUCUUGAUUAUAGCACUCUGGAAACAGCUCAGUUUCUAACUUGGAGAAAGCCAGAGUCGCAAGCCUAGGCUCCCCUAAGCAAGCUCACUGAAACGCACCACUGCCUCCUUCCUGUGUGGAAGACUGGAGAGUCACCCUCAUGAUUGGCUCACCAGCAAGCAGCUUCCUGUAACUCAUCAACUUCACCUGAGGAACUGGCCAGCCAUUCAUUGGCUCAUGCUUGGUUAUCUGGAACCAGACUUGUUCCUGUAGAAAGAGUUUUAAGUCAGGUUAUCUAUGCACCUAUCAAGAAUAAAGAGAGCAGAUGACAUCACAUAACGGCAGGGAAAUCUUACAGCAGUUUUAAUCCACUCUGGGUUGUCAACUGUAUUGACAUCUAAAGCAAUAGCAGACCUACCUGAAACUCCUUCUCAGCAAAUCUCAGUUGUGGGAUUAUAGAAAUCCUAGUGACAUUAAGGUGACCUAACCAAGAAACACAAGCCAACAGCAGGUCUGUUUUAAUCAUUGACUCCAUGGGAAAUUUUAAUGGGGGUAGAACCUGGAACCUCAUUCCAGACAUAAGUCCCACCAGAUAAGGGCUUUCUCCUUGCUGCUUGAGGAGCCAGAGAACCUGGGAGAGUGGAAGGAGACAGGCGCAAAAGCUGCCCUUCUGUGGGCUCCUGAGCUUGGCCGAGCAGUUGGUGCCAUAGAGGCCAGGUCUCCCUGAUGGACUGCUGUUGGCUCCUGGUUAAAGAUAAGGCCCCCCGAGGCCCUGAUACGUUUUAUAUUCUUUCUACUGAGUGCGAUGUUUGUGUCCUCACAAAUGCAGAUCAAUAAACAGAGUAUUUAAUAACCUG